rnacentral:rRNA from 1 species
UACAGAGGGUGCGAGCGUUGUCCGGAAUCACUGGGCGUAAAGGGCGCGUAGGCGGCUUGAUAAGCGUGCGGUGAAAGCCCGGGGCUCAACCCCGGGUCGGCCGUGCGAACUGUCGAGCUGGAGCACUGUAGAGGCAGGUGGAAUUCCGGGUGUAGCGGUGAAAUGCGCAGAUAUCAGGAAGAACACCCGUGGCGAAGGCGGCUCUCUGGGACGGUACUGACGCUGAGACGCGAAAGCGUGGGGAGCGAACAGG